rnacentral:rRNA from 1 species
GAUGAGCGCUGGCGGCAGGCUUAAUACAUGCAAGUCGUGGGGCAGCAGGACUGUAGCAAUACAGUUGCUGGCGACCGGCAAACGUGUUCGGAACACGUACGCAACCUACCCUGCACUGGGGGAUAGCCCGAGGGAAAGCGGAUUAAUACCCCGUAAUAUAAUGGAGUGGAAUCCCUUUAUUAUUAAAGCUCCGGCGGAUCCGACGGGGCGUGCGGCUGGUUAGGUAGGUGGUUGAGGUAACGGCUCAGCAAGCCUACGAACAGUAACUGGUGUGAGAGCACGACCACCGACACGGGAACUGGGACACUGGCCCGGCACCUACGGGACGGAGCAGUAAGGAAUAUGGGGCAAUGGAGGCAACUCUGACCCAGCCAUGCCGCGUGGAGGAUGGAGGCGCUCUGGGUGGUAAGCUUCUUUUAUAGGGGAAGAAACCUGUGUAAUCUUACGCAGUUGACGGUACCCUAGGAAUAAGCACCGGCUAACUCCGUG